rnacentral:lncRNA from 1 species
GGUUAGAACAAACAGUUUGUUAAACUUCGACGUCCAUUUCGUCCAUUUCGUUGAACAAAACAAACAGUAUACGAGUUGAUCUGAGCGCCUUUUCUUGUAAAUUCACGCUAUGAUCACUGUGCUUCCUGUAGCCAUUGAGAAGAACACACAUUCCUUUGCCUUCGUAGUUUUCAUUAUCGUUGUUUUCAUUGAGGUUGGACCAUUGCCAUGUACGUCUUCAGCUAGAUUGAAGUUCUGAAGCUCGCAGGCAACGUUGUUUCUCAGCUCGCAGGUGUUGUGUUGAGCGCAGUAACAACGUAAUUCAAAAUGUUGACAAUUUCUCAAAAACGUCGACAUAAAGUCUCUCCAAUCUCGUAGCAUUCUGUGACACAGCUUUUUUCAGUUCUUACCGUCGUUGAGCAGCACCAACAUGUCACUUGGCUUCUUCAUGACAAGAAAUUAGAACAAAUUGGAACACACGCAAACCUGAAGCUUUGUUCACAUUCAGACAAAGUUGUCCACAUCAGUGGGUUUCCCUUCGCGUUGGGAGUUCCUUGGGCCCAUUGUUUUGCAUUUGAGUUGUUUGAGCAUAUCAUCUGGUUUCUUUUUGCGUUGCAAUCUAAACGAAAGAGCAAACCUAGUGUCUUCAAACGUUGAGAGUUUCAACACGAUUUCUUGAUCGCCUCUAGCCUUUCUUUUAUCUUAGCUCGUUGCGCUUUCUUGUCCCCAGAAAAUCUCUGUAUUACUCGCUUAUUGCUCGCGCAAAGAAAAGCCUUACCUAAACGGCGAGCGGCCUACCUGGCAGAGUGGACCGAAG